ACGUAGGUCACAAGCGUUGUCCGGAAUUACUGGGUGUAAAGGGAGCGCAGGCGGGAAGACAAGUUGGAAGUGAAAUCUAUGGGCUCAACCCAUAAACUGCUUUCAAAACUGUUUUUCUUGAGUAGUGCAGAGGUAGGCGGAAUUCCCGGUGUAGCGGUGGAAUGCGUAGAUAUCGGGAGGAACACCAGUGGCGAAGGCGGCCUACUGGGCACCAGCUGACGCUGAGGCUCGAAAGUGUGGGUAGCAAACAG
rnacentral:rRNA from 1 species